GAAACCCUAACUUCUGGAAGAUCAAAAGGCAGAGGUUCAGAAGUUAUUCAUCGAAGCUGAAGGGAUUGAAGAUUCAAGUUGAUGGGUAGAUGCUUAAAAGAAUCUAGGGUUUAUAACCAAUCCCCAAAUUAGGGAUCACGCUACUUCAAGUAUACUUCAAUAUCUUCUCGUCCUGUGGUGAUUUUGAUUAACUGCAUUCGUUUUAGUUGCGAUUUUGUUGAAGAUUGGAUCUGUAUUGCUUGAUUUGUUGAGUGUAGGUUUGAUUGAUUGAUCACCGGAUUCUGUUUAAUUUCAUCAAGAUUAGGUCUUGAAAAAUAGUUCAAUCAAUAGACGAAGACGAGAAUCGGAAGAAUCCAGUAUCAAUUUGAUCCUGAUCUUCUAUUAGCUGUUUUUCUUCCUCCUCUUCUUUUUGAAAGUUCUUUUUCAAUGGAUGUGCAUCACAUCAAGCUUUUAUUUCCGUAUAGCUGGAGCUGGAAGACCUCAUUGCUUCUUGGAGGACUUCUAG
rnacentral:lncRNA from 1 species